GUGCUCAUUUCUGCAGCACAUAUACUAAAAUUAAAAUGAUACAGAGAAGAUUAGCAUGGCUCCUGUGCAAAGAUGACACACAAAUUCAUGAAGUGUUCCAUAUUUCU